CCUUUGUACACACCGCCCGUCGCUACUACCGAUUGAAUGGCUUAGUGAGGCUUCCGGAUCAGCUUAGAGUAGAGGGCAACUUCCACUCGGGGCAGAGAAGCUAGUCAAACUUGGUCAUUUAGAGG
rnacentral:rRNA from 1 species